rnacentral:rRNA from 1 species
GAUGAACGCUAGCGGCAGGCUUAACACAUGCAAGUCGAGGGGCAGCGCGGGGCAGCAAUGUUCUGGCGGCGACCGGCGGAAGGGUGCGUAACGCGUGAGCGACAUGCCCGUUGCCCGGGGACAACCGGUGGAAACGCCGACUAAUCCCCGAUGGGACGGAGGCCCUCAUGGGUCUCCGUUGAAAGUUACGGCGGCGACGGAUUGGCUCGCGUCCGAUUAGCUUGUUGGCGGGGUAACGGCCCACCAAGGCUACGAUCGGUAGGGGUUCUGAGAGGAAGGUCCCCCACAAUGGAACUGAGACACGGUCCAUACUCCUACGGGAGGCAGCAGUGAGGAAUAUUGGUCAAUGGGCGGAAGCCUGAACCAGCCAUGCCGCGUGCGGGAAGGAGGCCCUAUGGGCUGUGAACCGCUUUUGCCUGGGGGCAAUAAGGGCGUCGUGCACGUCCGAUGAGAGUAUCAGGCGAAUAAGCAUCGGCUAACUCCGUGCCAGCAGCCGCGGUAAUACGGGGGAUGCGAGCGUUAUCCGGAUUCAUUGGGUUUAAAGGGUGCGUAGGCUGUGCGUCAAGUCAGGGGUGAAAUUCCGGGGCUCAACUCCGGGGCUGCCCUUGAUACUGUCGCGCUGGAGUGCGGAUGCCGCCGGAGGAAUGAGUGGUGUAGCGGUGAAAUGCUUAGAUAUCACUCAGAACACCGAUUGCGAAGGCAUCUGGCGAAUCCGUAACUGACGCUGAGGCACGAAAGCGUGGGGAUAGAACAGGAUUAGAUACCCUGGUAUUCCACGCCGUAAACGAUGAUGGCUAACCGCCGGCGACACACUGUCGGUGGCCAAGCGAAAGCGAUAAGCCAUCCACCUGGGGAGUACGUCGGCAACGAUGCAACUCAAAGGAAUUGACGG